CGUUAACCUCUUCCUUGAGUUGGUAUUCGAAUUUGAUUUCUUCAAACCCGGCAUGAGCGAUUCUUCAAUUCCCAGAUUUCCAAUACAGUACUGACUACUGAGUUCCCAAAUUUCUUCCUCGAUGCCCUCUCAUGUCAUCCUAGAUCUCUUUCUGCCUCGACGAGUCGACGUAGAAGAAGAGAGAAGCUCAGGCCCUGAUUCUUCGUUCUGCGAACCAACCGUCGGGAUAUUACCUGCUUAGUAUUGCUGGCGUUAUGAAGGCAGUGCUCACAUUUGAUGAUGUAAGAGUAUGAGCAAUCUCUGGAUGCAAGGCCACUCUGGCAGACCUGAUUGUUGCAGGGAUUUUGAUCAAUGAUUCGAAUGGUGCUCCAUCAAAUGUCAAUUCAGUGUUGAGUAAUGAAACCUGGAUAUGCUGCAAAUGCAGCCUCCAAGGCAGCGGUGGACUCCAUAACCAAGGUGGUUUGUCGCCAAGUAGUCCUCUCAGCUGAUCAUCAUAUAUGGUGACCAAAACUACCCCGCAGUCUUCCCUGAAUCUGAAUGGGGCAUUUAGCAAGUGUAAUGGGUGGUAUGCGUGGAGUCGGUUGUGCGAUUGCCAUCAAUUGUUCGUGAUGGUUGAAGCAAGCAGUGUAAUUAGCUUCUCAGCUGAACAACACCUCAGUUUCACAAACACAAGUGGGUUGGAGCAGAUAUUUCAGACCUAUAUGAGGUGAAAUUCAUCUUUGACAAAGCCGAACAAGCACCUGGUGGCGGCCAUCGUCAACUGUGUUGGGGUUUUGGUCUUUUGGAUUCAUUGUCUCCAUCUUUGGCCUUCAUCACUGUACAGGACUGGGAUACAAUUUGACCACCAAAGAGGCAUUUUUGGCUUGUAGAGACUAAUAGUGAUGAUCGAGGCGGAAGAGUAAUAUUGAUGACAAUGGCAAUGAUCAUAACCUAUAGCGGGAUACCUUCAUCCACGCCGACUCAGAUUUUAUAUAGUAGUAAUAUCACGAUGCAGGCAAGCACGCUUAGGAUGAUUUCUUUUCACUCCAUCAAAGCCUUCAAAUUGCACGUACUGCAAAAGCUUUAACUCUACGUAGUUGUAUGUAUUGUAACUCCUAUCAUUAUUCUGGUGGAGCUGUGGAAGGAGUCCCAUUUAGAAUAGGAAUCCAACUUCGCUAAACUCCCAUACUAGCUUGAUUUAUCUAAUCCUUGAACGCAAGGGCUUCCCGAGUUUCAGGCGAAGAGUUGUACUAGAAUACUCUAUAUAAAUCCAAUUCCAA